GCGGAAGUGGCUCAGUGGUAGAGCAUCUCCUUGCCAAGGAGAAGGUCGCGGGUUCGAAUCCCGUCUUCCGCUCCG
rnacentral:tRNA from 1 species